rnacentral:rRNA from 1 species
AUUGAACGCUGGCGGCAGGCUUAACACAUGCAAGUCGAGGGGCAGCAUAAAAUAAACUUGUUUAUUUGGUGGCGACCGGCGCACGGGUGCGUAACGCGUAUGCAACCUACCUUAUACAAAGGGAUAGCCCGGAGAAAUUCGGAUUAAUACCUUAUAGUAUCUAAUUAUAGCAUUAUAAUAAGAUUAAAGCUUUGGCGGUAUAAGAUGGGCAUGCGUCCAAUUAGCUAGAUGGUGAGGUAACGGCUCACCAUGGCGACGAUUGGUAGGGGGCCUGAGAGGGUGGUCGCCCACACUGGUACUGAGACACGGACCAGACUCCUACGGGAGGCAGCAGUGAGGAAUAUUGGUCAAUGGGCGCAAGCCUGAACCAGCCAUGCCGCGUGAAGGAUGAAGGUUCUAUGGAUUGUAAACUUCUUUUAUUUGGGAAUAAACCUCUUUACGUGUAGAGAGCUGAAGGUACCAAAUGAAUAAGCACCGGCUAACUCCGUGCCAGCAGCUGCGGUAAAAC